AGGACGAACGCUGGCGGCGUGCUUAACACAUGCAAGUCGAGCGGAAAGGCCUUUCGGGGUACUCGAGCGGCGAACGGGUGAGUAACACGUGAGUAAUCUGCCCAUCGCUUCAGGAUAGCCAUCGGAAACGGUGAUUAAUACUGGAUAUGACAUUCCUUCGCAUGUUGGGGUGUGGAAAGUUUUUUCGGCGGUGGAUGUGCUCGCGGCCUAUCAGCUUGUUGGUGGGGUAAUGGCCUACCAAGGCUUUGACGGGUAGCCGGCCUGAGAGGGUGACCGGCCACACUGGGACUGAGACACGGCCCAGACUCCUACGGGAGGCAGCAGUGGGGAAUAUUGGACAAUGGGCGGAAGCCUGAUCCAGCAACGCCGCGUGAGGGAUGACGGCCUUCUGGUUGUAAACCUCUUUCAGCACAGACGAAGUUUUGCUUUUUUUGGGUGAAGUGACGGUAUGUGCAGAAGAAGGACCGGACAACUACGUGCCAGCAGCCGC
rnacentral:rRNA from 1 species